GACGAACGCUGGCGGCGUGCCUAAUACAUGCAAGUCGAGCGAAUCAAAGGGAGCUUGCUCCCUGAGGUUAGCGGCGGACGGGUGAGUAACACGUGGGCAACCUGCCUAUAAGACUGGGAUAACUUCGGGAAACCGGAGCUAAUACCGGAUAAUUCUUUUCUACUCAUGUAGGAAAGCUGAAAGACGGUUUCGGCUGUCACUUAUAGAUGGGCCCGCGGCGCAUUAGCUAGUUGGUGAGGUAACGGCUCACCAAGGCGACGAUGCGUAGCCGACCUGGGAGGGUGAUCGGCCACACUGGGACUGAGACACGGCCCAGACUCCUACGGGAGGCAGCAGUAGGGAAUCUUCCGCAAUGGACAAAAGUCUGACGGAGCAACGCCGCGUGAGUGAUGAAGGUUUUCGGAUCGUAAAACUCUGUUGUUAGGGAAGAACAAGUACUAGAGUAACUGCUAGUACCUUGACGGUACCUAACCAGAAAGCCACGGCUAACUACGUGCCAGCCGCCGCGGUAAUAC
rnacentral:rRNA from 1 species